rnacentral:rRNA from 1 species
UACAGAGGUCCCAAGCGUUGUUCGGAUUCAUUGGGCGUAAAGGGUGCGUAGGUGGCGCUGUAAGUCGGGUGUGAAAUUUCGGGAGCUUAACUCCGAAACUGCAUUCGAUACUGCGGUGCUUGAGGAUGGAGAGGAGACUGGAAUUCAUGGUGUAGCAGUGAAAUGCGUAGAGAUCAUGAGGAAGACCAGUGGCGAAGGCGGGUCUCUGGACAGUUCCUGACACUGAGGCACGAAGGCCAGGGGAGCAAACGGG